CAGCCGCCGCGGGAAAACGAAGGGGGCUAGCGUUGCUCGGAAUUACUGGGCGUAAAGGGAGCGUAGGCGGACAUUUAAGUCAGGGGUGAAAUCCCGGGGCUCAACCUCGGAAUUGCCUUUGAUACUGGGUGUCUUGAGUAUGAGAGAGGUAUGUGGAACUCCGAGUGUAGAGGUGAAAUUCGUAGAUAUUCGGAAGAACACCAGUGGCGAAGGCGACAUACUGGCUCAUUACUGACGCUGAGGCUCGAAAGCGUGGGGAGCAAACAGGAUUAGAUACCCCUGUAGUCCCUGUCUCUUAUAC
rnacentral:rRNA from 1 species